AUUGAACGCUGGCGGCAUGCCUUACACAUGCAAGUAGAACGGAGUGGCGGACGGGUGAGUAAUGUAUGGGACCCUGCCCAGUAGAGGGGGAUACCUACUGGAACGAGUGGCUAAUACCGCAUACACUUAGAGGGGCCGAUAUGGGAUUAGCUGGUUGGUGGGGUAACGGGUAACCAAGGCAACGAUCCAUAGCUGGUUUGAGAGGACGACCGGCAACACUGGGACUGUGACACGGCCCAGAUUCCUACGGGAGGCAGCAUUGGGGAAUAUUGGACAAUGGGGGAAACCCUGAUCCAGCCAUCCCGCGUGUAUGAUGAAGGCCUUCGGGUUGUAAAGUACUUUGGGCAGGGAGGCGGUACCUGCAGAAGAAGCACCGGCUAACUACGUGCCAGCAGCCGCGGUAAUAC
rnacentral:rRNA from 1 species